rnacentral:rRNA from 1 species
AGUGAACGCUGGCGGUAGGCCUAACACAUGCAAGUCGAACGGCAGCACAGUAAGAGCUUGCUCUUACGGGUGGCGAGUGGCGGACGGGUGAGGAAUACAUCGGAAUCUACUUUUUCGUGGGGGAUAACGUAGGGAAACUUACGCUAAUACCGCAUACGACCUACGGGUGAAAGCAGGGGAUCUUCGGACCUUGCGCGAUUGAAUGAGCCGAUGUCGGAUUAGCUAGUUGGCGGGGUAAAGGCCCACCAAGGCGACGAUCCGUAGCUGGUCUGAGAGGAUGAUCAGCCACACUGGAACUGAGACACAGUCCAGACUCCUACGGGAGGCGGCAGUGGGGAAUAUUGGACAAUGGGCGCAAGCCUGAUCCAGCCAUACCGCGUGGGUGAAGAAGGCCUUCGGGUUGUAAAGCCCUUUUGUUGGGAAAGAAAAGCAGCAGGUUAAUACCCCGCUGUUCUGACGGUACCCAAAGAAUAAGCACCGGCUAACUUCGUG